rnacentral:lncRNA from 1 species
UUUACUCUUGUAUAAUUGUUCCUACUUGUAAAUGCUUGUUGCUCAUUUGGCCCAAUUUUAUACAUUUAUCAUUUGUAACAAUUAAUUUACUUGUAUUAUUUGAUUUAUUUAUGUUUAUUAUUUGAGACAAAUUUCUUUGAUAUUUCAGUGAAGUUUGAUUAAAUUGACAAAUGUAGCAAAAUUUGAGCUAAAUUUAGCUCAAAUCUAAAUUAACUUUAAAAAAAUUGAUAUGGUUUUACCUACUUUUUAACAAAGUUUUGACAGCAUAAUGCCCAAAAUUGCCAAACUGCACACCUUGAAGCUGAGACAAAAACAUAUAUCCACUGAUACUCUGAUUUCCCUGGCUUGAGCUGAAACUCCUUAAUGCACAACUUUAGUGCCUUACAAUGCAGUCAGUUUAGAGGCUCACCAUUGAUUUCCCUGGCUUGAGCUGAAACUCCUUAAUGCACAACUUUAGUGCCUUACAAUGCAGUCAGUUUAGAGGCUCACCAUUGAUUUCCCUGGCUUGAGCUGAAACUCCUAUCAGUCGUUCAGUUUUGGAAAAUGGUGUGCAAGUUUUAGAAUGAGUCUAAAAUCCAUUUAGUCUCAUCUUGUUUCUGUAAGACAAUAGGCAACAAAACAUGAAAGAAAUGCAGAGUAGUCUCGGAGCAGUAGUAUGUAUAAAGAAGAAUAAAUGGAAUUUCUUCUUCCUUUUAAUAUGAACAUCUGAUCAACCCCCUCUCCAGGAUUGAGAAAUCAAUCCAUGGGCGCCUAUGAAUCUCACACGACAUGCAAUGCUCUAAACCAACCAACCAACAAUCCUCCGCUUUAGCUCCUGGGGAUCUCGCCGCCUCGCUCGCUCCUCGCCCACGACCCGCCGCCACCCCGCGAGACGCCGCCCACCCCCGGCGNNNNNNNNNNNNNNNNACAGCCCGCUUCCGCCGCCGCCUCCCCGCUACCUUCCCCGCGAGCGGCAGCCGCGAGACGCCUCCCCACCGACCGGCGCGCGCGAGCCGCCGCUGCCGCCCCACUGCACCGAGAGGGUGGGUAUGUGAGAGAGAGAGAGAGGGGUAGCAGAUAG